UCACUGGCUCCUCUGCAGGAAACUAUCUUCAUCCACUGUAGUACUGCGGUGUGCCAUCCAUCUUCUGGCUCCUGUGAGCAAAGCUGCGGCAGGAAGAGAAGGGACACUAAUGUCAAGACCAUCUCUAGUGAGCAGACUGUGGUUUCUAGUGGAGGAGUUACUCUGAUCAUGUAAAUCUAGUGGUUUUAAUAAGCUUUUUUACUUGGCAAGGUCUGUUAUUGUAUUGACCUUGCAGAGUCUCAUGUUACAUUAUGUACGCAGUUUGUUUCUUGGUGUACACUAUUAAACUAACUUUCCAGUA